AGUGGCUUCAAAUCGCGCGGAGAACCCCUUCAAACCCUGCCUCUAUAAUGUUAGGCGCGGCAAAGAUCGCACGACAAAGGCAAGCAGGCAUGUCCAGUUCUCUGGGAGUCCUACACAUCGAACGGGUGGUUAUUGCAGCUGUACGGACUGCACUCCAGGGUGUAGCUCCCCGGUCCAGUCCACAACAGCCAUGGUUUCAACACCAGCGGUGCCCAGUGCCUCAGGCACUUCCAACUUUGCCACCACCGUCACAUCACUGAGAUCAGUGCAACUGUGGGAAUUGUGCCACUAUGCCCAACGAAGUGAAGAACGUCUGCUGUAGAGUAAUCCCAAAGGUAAAACUGAUGAGCUUUAGGCUAAGCUAGUUUGUUGAGAACGAUGUCAUGUCAUCUAUCUAUCAUCUUCGGAGGAUAUAUAUAUAUAUAUAUCCUCAGAAGAGGAGUAGCCUACCACUAUCAUCACAAAACCUAAUAAUUAACUUCUAGUAAACUAUAUUGCAUGUUUAGAUCAUCUCUACCAUAUAGCAACAGUAAUACCAGUCCACUUGUAAUGGAAAACGAGCAAUCUCAUCAUUCUCACCUGUUUGCUGUAGUUCCAGCCAACUGUACCAUGUUUGUUAUGUGAAUUCAUUAGUGAUACAUUUUUUUGUAAAUACCAAUCCUACUCGAAUAGAUGUUGCUUCAGCAAUACCAGUUACGAGAAAUCUCACCUGUUCCAACCCGGUAUCACGCGAUUUCGUGCUCUUGGGCACAAACUUUAAUCUAUUGAAGCGUGUUCCAGAGCACGAUAGUCCGACUUUUUGCGUGCUACACAGAACGAAAUGUAAACCAAUGCAUUCUGAAUGGGAGUGUUCUCAGACAAUUGACGUGCUCCACAAAACGGUACGAGAGAGAAAGAGAGAGAGGGAGGGACAGAGAGAGAGAGAGCGAGAGAGAGGCUUCAGAAAGGGUGUUCUCAGAUAGUACAGUGCACCCUAGUUAUGUUUAUGCCAAAACCACAAAUGCUAUA